AUUCUAUUGGCAGGUGAGCUGGAGGGGACAACCAAGGGAGACGAGAUCAUCAUUAUUUUAGCAAACUACUUUUGGUGACAAAUUUUGGGUGGCAUGCCAGGAGAUUUUCUUUUCCUCAAUAGUGGCAGAACGACGGAAAGUUUUGGAGUCAGGAAAGAUGCUGAGAGACGCCGCCAGAGAGACAAUGUUUUUUUCCGGUGUCCUUCCACCACUGUAUGUCCCCCCCUCCACCUCCCCAAACUGUCGACGAGUCAUCACAACAUCAGUUCCCAGCCACUUGGGAGACAAUUUCCCCAUUGUCACAAAUAUGCUCGGGGGGGAAGAGGCUAUUCUAUGUAUAGAGGUUGAACACCAACAACGCGCUUAAGUCACGUCGGCGGUAUCUAAGGACACCACUAGAUAAUGAUUCAAACUGCACAUAAAAAUGAAGUCAAAAUAGCACUUAUGUGACUGUUCCAAAAUAAAGCACUCUUAAAGGUGAAACGCCAAAGUUAAAUACAACUGAAACGCACCAUCUCGGUGAUUGUUCACUUUAAUAAAUUGACGACGCACAGAAACUGUCUGGACCAGUUCUCGGGGCGCCCAGAAGGUACAAGGCCUGCUCUUAAACUAAAAACGUGCCAUAUUUUUUAAGAGUACUUUCCAAUGUAACCGAAGACGAUAUGUGGCACGUCUCGUUGGCUUGUUUGAAACCGUUCUUGGGGGUUGACAUGAUGGGAUGAACUUUAGUCUCUUUGUUCACACGUGUUAUUACUUCCAACAAGUAACAACCCGGGCGCCAGGUGCGUCCAGCAAAUACUUGACCUCAUUUCAAGUAUUAUGUCAACAAAUGUCUGGAGGGGCCCGUGGAACCUCGCCACAAACUCACACCGCUACAUUGCCAGUCAGUCAGUCGGCUUCGACAACAAGCAACAAUUAGAAGUG